CUGUGUCUAGACAUGAAGGUGAAUCUCAAGUUGUGUCUACAAACAAAGAUGAGGUUCAGGAUGUGUCAAGGUCAGGGAACAAUGGUGAGGUUUAUCAACCUGUAACCUGUGAAGGUGAGUCUUGUGGUGUUUCAGGGGACAUUAAUGCGGGCUAUCAACUCUUGACCAGUGAAGACGAGUCUCCUGGUGUCUCCGGGGACAAUGAUGUGUCAAACGAAGAUGAGGUUCAGGAUGUGUCAAGGUCAGGGAACAAUGAUGAGGUUUAUCAACCCGUAACCAGUGAAGGUGAGUCUUGUGGUGUUUCAGGGGACAUUAAUGUGGGUUAUCAACCCUUGACCAGUGAAGAUGAGUCUCCUGCUGUCUCAGGGGACAAUGAUUUGGGUUAUCAACC
rnacentral:lncRNA from 1 species